rnacentral:snRNA from 1 species
CCACUUACCUGGCAGGGGAGACACCAUGAUCAGGCAGGUGGUUUUCCCAGGGCGAUGCUCAUCCUUUGCACUCCAGGUGUGCUGACCCCUGUGAUUUCCCCAAAUGUGGGAAACUCAACUUUAGUC